CAAUAAUACUAUAAUUUAUUUUAAGGUUACCCACGCCAUCAAGGUACCUUUUCUUUUAUAAUGGUUAUCUAUUAUUUUAAGUGUCAUUUCAGUUGGCUUCAACCAUUAUGAGUUGAUAAAAAAGAUAAAACAUCGGGUUAGUGGAUCAUCCACCUAAUUACUGGAAUUAACAUUCUCUCACUUGACCCACUAAAUCAAUUAU
rnacentral:lncRNA from 1 species